UGGGACAGGAAGGGUGGGGACAGGAGGGAAAGAGAUCAGGGACCUGGCGGAGGCUGAGCUCUCUGACCCCGGGGGGUGCAUCCUGGUUCUUGCUGUCCCCAACCCUCUCCUCUCCUGGGUUUCCACCCCGAGCUGGGACUGUGCCCCAGCAGCAUGUCUCCUGGAUCCUGGACCAGUGUCCACGUCUUCCCAUGGAGGACACGUUGGCUGCAGAGCAGGCCGAGAAGGCCCAGAUGCACGUGCAGAGGAAUUCCUUAGGCAAACGACGUUCCCGGAGCCGUCUUCACCUGCAAAGUGAACAAUAAGCGCUUUGAGACUAACCGCCUCGGCUCACAGGAAGAGGCUCCACCCGCACAGGCGUGCACAGGUGCUGGCCCUGCAGCUGGGGGGCCCUGUGUGUCUCCCCUCCCCCACGCUGGUCUCAGUGGCUUCGCUCUAGGCCCAUCUCCCCCCACCCCAGUGGGGCUCUCCACCCUCACGGACCCCUGUCCCUGGCCCCUGAGGGCUGAGGCACCUGGGGCCCUGCCUGACCUCUGUCUUCCGCCCCCUAGGCUUGAGCAGCACUGCUUCCUGCCACUCUGUCCCCAGAACACCUCCCUGAAGUCCCUGUCCUCUCUUUCCCCUUAUCCUGGCCUGGUCUCUGUUGGUGCCCUCCCAACCCUGGCGUAGUCUUGGAGGUUUCCAGACCUCAGUGGGAGCCAUGGGGUGGUGGGUGGUGGUGUGGGAGGGACAGUGAUCAGAGGGAAGGGUGACUGUGAGGGUCUCGUGCUGUCAUGACGUCUCAGCCUACAGUGACCCAGAACCAGCUCUGCCCCCUCUCCGCCCCCAGCCCAGCUGUGGUCGCACAGGAGGGGCGUUGCGGGGGCGGGGGGCUCAGUUCCCUGCUGUCUGGAUGGUGCCCCUCUCACUGGCCACGGUGAGAUUGGAGCAGGCACAUGCAGGACUCAGAGGGGGGCCUGGUGUGUGGCGCGAGCCUGGACGCGGCUCUGGCUGGGCGGUGGCUCUUUUCACUGUCUAACCUCACAGAUGAGGCUCAAGUGUCUGUGGCCACGUCCCCAGCACCUCCCCAGCCCCCGAAUGGGCCACUCAAAGCGACUUGUGUGCAGACCUGGCUGGGCAGGCCGAGGGAGGGACAGGUGGAGGCCGCGUGGACACAGGAGCCCCCGCACACAGGGAAACCGCAGCUCAGAGAGGUUAAAUUACUUGUCCCAGGUCACACAGCAAAUAAGUAGGGGAGGUGGGAAGUGAACCCAGACCGUUUGCCUCCAGGAAAACUAUGGGGCUUAUGAUACGGAAUAGAUUGUUCAGCCUUUCUCCAGGGCAGUGUAAAGGGCCGACGAGUCUCUUUCUUUUCUGCAUUUCUUGCCCUGCCAUGGGCCCCUGGGCCCCAUCCUGAGCCUCCUCACUGGGCAGCUGCUUCCUAAGUGCUAUGAGACCUCAGGGAUGAAGACCUCAGGCUCCUCUCCAUUGCCUCCAGCCCAGCCCCAGGCUCUGUAGCCCCCGGUUCUCCUGUCCUCAUUGGCGCUGAGUGUCACCGCCCCCUGGGGCUGCAGCCAGAACCCCAGUCACAUCCUCCUCCUGCUCCUGCCCCCCCCCCUCCUGUGGACUCUCCUGCCAUGGGGGGGCAACCCCAGCUCCUCCUCUACUCUCACCCUCCACUCUUGCUCAGACACCUGUAACCUUCCAAAGUCUGUAAACUGUAAACGAAGCUGGUGACAACAUGCUCCUCGUGGGGAGUCUCAGGAUUAGUCCAAUCUUGAAAAGCUGUUGGGCUGGGCUGUUAU